CCUACGGGGUGCAGCAGUGAGGAAUAUUGGGCAAUGGAGGCAACUCUGACCCAGCAACGCCGCGUGAAUGAUGAAGGUCCUCGGAUUGUAAAGCUCUGUGUUGGGGGAUGAACACAAUGACGGUACUCCAAUAGCAAGCCUCGGCUAACUACGUGCCAGCACCCGCGGCAAUACGUAGGCGGCAAGCGUUAUCCGGAAGGACUGGGCGUACAGGGUGCGUAGGUGGUUUAGUAAGUUGGCGGUGUAAUUCCGGGGCUCAACCUCGGCGCUACCGCAAAGACUAUUAGACUAGAGUGCAGGAGGGGUAAGUGGAAUUCCUAGUGUAGCGGUGGAAUGCGUAGAUAUUAGGAAGAACAUCGGGGGCGAAGGCGGCUUACUGGACUGUAACUGACACUGAGGCACGAAAGCGUGGGGAGCAAACAGGAUUAGAUACCCGAGUAGUC
rnacentral:rRNA from 1 species